UUUUCUAGUUUUCUUGGCUCCCUCCCCUGUAAUAAAAGAUAGAUUAAAAAGAGAAAAACAGGCAGAAGUUUAAUAACAUGCAUGCCUCCUGUAUACAUGGGAGAGCCCCAGGAAAACUGAGUAACUUCCCCAAUGCUCCAAGCCACCAAUUUAAAUAGCAUCUCCAGCUGAAGACAAAGGAAAGAUGUGGAGGGAUGCAGGGAGGUGGUGGUGGGGGGCAGCCAGUGAUGGAAGAAAGACACAGUAAAGGAGGGUAAGGUGUUAUGCAGAUUCAAGUCCUUGCCUUCCCACUGAUAAAAGUUUCUAGAGAUUUAGUCAUCCUCCUCUUCUUGGUACAAAGAGGAGACCCCCUUACAAAUAGAGAUUUCCCUUAUAAAUGUAAGUUUUCCUCACAAACAGGCAACUUCUAUUGUGUCUGUAGCCUUUCAAAAAUAAUCAGCCUAAAAUAAUCAAUAUGCCAGAGAUAUAUUUUAGGGAAGUUUGUUUUUCUUCCUUUCAAAGGUUUGUACAUUUCUGCAGACAUGAAUCUUUUAAGUUUGAGAAAAGCCUUAUAUACUACUUACAAACUAUACACUUACACUAAUAUUUAUAAAAGUAUACAUACAAAUGGGGUACCUGGGUGGCUCAGUCGGUUGAGCGACCGACUUCGGCUCAUGUCAUGAUCUCACGGUUUGUGAGUUUGAGCCCCGUGUUGGGCUCUGUGCUGACAGCUCAGAGCCUGGAGCCUGCUUUGGAUUCUGUGUUUCCCUCUCUCUCUGCCCCUCCCCUGCUCAUGCUCUGUGUCUCUCUGUCUCAAAAAUAAAUCAAAACAUUAAAAAAUUUAAAAAAAGUAUACACACAAACACAUAUAUACGUAUAUAUAAUAUAUACACUUUUAUUAGUGUGUGUAAUAUUGUGACUUAUAAGAUAUAUAUUUGGACAUUCAGAUGACCAAAAUAAGCCAAAAGACCAAGAGCAAUGGGAACAUCUUUUGACACAGUAUUUGGUCUCUUGUCCUCAGUUCCAGAAAUUUCUCCAGAAUCAUAAAGGUGAAUGGGUGUCUUGUUAUUUAUAACAAGCUCCUCUCCUCCACAACUGGGUUUAUGUUAAUGAGGUGAGUUCUGGAAAGCACCUAAAGAUGGGGGCUGGUUACCAAGGGAACCAACCAUGAAUGGAGGGUUGGGAAUUUCAAUUCUACUCCUUGAUCUCCAAGGAGGGGAGAGGGACUGCAAGUUUAGUUGAUCACCAAAGGCCAAUUAUUUAAUCAAUCAUGCCCAUUUAAUGAAGCCUCCAAGAAUGCGGUUUGGAGAGAUCCUGGCUUGGUGAGCACAUGAAGGUGCUGGAAGAGAGGUGCACCCGAAGAGGGCAUGAAAGCUCCCAUGUCCUCCAUCUGGCUGUCACUGAGUUGUAUCUUUUUAUAGUGAACUGGUAAUUUAGUAAGUAAAAUAUUUCUCUGAGUUCCAUGAGCCACUCUAGCAAAUUAAUGAAACCAGAGGAGGGGACCAUGGGAACCUCUAAUUUUAUAGCUAGUUUUACAGCUGAACUUACAACUGGCAUCUGAAUCGGGUUGGGAGGGCAGUUUUGUAGGUCUGAGACCUUAACCUGUGGGAUUGGAUGCUAUCUUGGGGUAGAUAGUGUCAGAAUUGAGUUAAAUUGUAGGACAUCCAGCUGGUGUCACGAAGAAUUAUCGGUGUGGAGGACCCCCCUCCCUACAUUAGAAAUUGGUGAUCAGACACCUUUUAAUAAGUAUACAGUAUAAGUAUAUAUAUGUAUACCAUAAACAUAUUUGCAUAUCAUUAUAUGUAAUAUAUAAUACUAUAAUAUAUACUCAUAUAUAUGAACAUAUAAUGUACCAUAUAUAAUGCAUACUCAUGUAUAUUAUAUUCAUACAUAUCUAUGUAUUUACACUAUACAUGAUACUACUUACGGCAUAAUUAAAUGAAAGGAUUUUGAAUCAAUUAACCAAUCUUUAGUCUCAAACUUUAUAUAACAAGGUCUUCUCAUAGCAACUUCAUUAAAACCAUUUUCCUCCAUAGAUCUUGAAGACCUAACCCAAAGCACUUCCAAAAUUUAAUUAUAUCCAAUUAUUAUUGGAUAUAUCCAGUAAUAUCACUUCUCCUCUCCCUUUAUAGUAUUUGCCCUUCAGAGACUUUGGAAAAUGUCACAAGAGGAUCUUCCCUAUUCCAUUUCCUGCCUUUCGUUUCAUUGAUUCUCUCUUCUAAAGUCAGAUAAGUACACAAUGAUAUCAGAAGGAUGCAGUUUUUUCAGCUUUUACAGCGAAAAUAAUGGUAUUUUCUAGCAGAUGCUCAAAUACUGCUCAUGGAUUGUUUGCAAGUUUCAUAGACAUAUAAUUUCAAGCUGAAAGAAAAGAGCUCCCAUGCUGAACACUGACAAGAGGCUUCUGUAACCUACUGGAUGGUGACAGCCUGGAGUCCUGAUGUUGUCUUGUGCCAGAGGACAAUGGCAUAAGCUAUGGAUCCUAACCACUGGUCUGGAAAACAAAACCUACCUUAUGAAGAACCCGGCUAAGCAGAUCUCGGGGUUUCUCCACCUGCCAACAUGAAGUGUGUCCUGAGUUCCUGAGGUUGGCGGGUCUUUGGCUGCCCUGCCACCAAUGUGUACAGGUGCACCAUGUGAACUACACUGCAGGGAAGCCUCACUCUGUGUCUGGGCUCCAAGCAUCUCUCCGGAACAUUCUACGCCAGGAAAUGAAACAGGGAGAGCCAGCAUGAGCGCUAAUACCUUCUGACAUAGGUGAGGAGUCAUUUGUUCUUCUAAACUCUGUUUAGCAUCCUUUCCCAAGAGGCUUCCUUGACUUCUUGAUUGCAGAAUAAGUAAAGACUCAACCUUAUUUAAACCCCUGCGCCUCACUGGCUCACAGUUCAAGCUUGGUUGUUUGGGAUGCUUUCCAAGACAGCUGUCCACAGAGGAAAGCUUUGGCACCAUGGAUCACUUCUAACAAUAAGUCUUGACCUUUCAGGUAAAUGGGACACCUUUCCCUUUACCCUGUUGACAAAUUUCCUGUGUAUAUAGUUUGGUUGUGUCUUUCUUUUCUUCUCUUUUCUUCUUACCCCUACUUUGUGAGAGCUGCUACCAAGGUCUUCCUGCCCCACGCUAGCCUUGUUCUGAGGUCAACUAGACCCUGUGGGUGGAGAUGCCUCCCCCAGCCAGCAGCAACGUGGACCUGUGAAGUCCCUGGACCCCAGAGAAGACGCUUUAUCAACCCUCUCUGCCCCUUUGCAGGAUAAGUGACCCCUGAUUUCGUGUGGGCACGUGUUCUGAUUAAAUCACGUCUUCCUGGGUCUUGAGCCUAACUUGCACUUGGAUUGCUGGGCAGGAAUUUGGUCACUCACUGUGCUUUACCUUUAGAUCUUGUGACACCUCAUCUCUGGAGGGCUGGCUUUUCACUGCUGCCGGAUCACGUGUCCCCCUUUUAUUUAAGAGCUGAUUGGUUUUAACUAGAAAAGGCUUAAAAGCACUGCUGAGUCUCUGGCACCUAAAAGACGCAUGGUAUUGUUCCGGAAGUGCUUGUUACUGACCAGGUUGAUUGUGGCCUCCCUUCCCUUGCACGUGGCUCGGCCUGUUCAGCACUCCAGGCUCUGGUUUUUACUAAUCUCUGCCCAACACCCCUCAUACCGGUGUUUCUUCUCUUCUCCAUUUCCUGGCCUGUCUUACUUUUCUGACUCUGGCUUCAGUGGCUGCAAUCUACUGCCACCGUCUUCUGGGUGCUCACAACCGAAUUAGAUUUUGUUGACGUUAAUUAGUUAAUUUGAUGUAAACCAGAGGGCUCAGCCAGAAUCCAGCUGGAUGUUCAGUCUUGCUGUUGGGGACCCAACCUUCCCUUUUGGGAUUAAAAUACCUAUGGGAGGCAGACAUUUUUCACUCUCAGGUGAAAAGAGAAGCGAAGUCUGCCUACUUUAAAUAAUUAUAAUAUAAAAUGGUAUAAUUUCAGGAGUGUUACGAUCUUAUUAAUAAGUGUUUAAUAUUCUCUUAUAAUUCACAUUCUCUGUAGAUGAACAUUGGUUGAAUUGGUGACUUUAAACAGAGGCAAAGAAAAUAGAACAGUUAUAAGUCUAAACAUCCAAAAUGGGCAAAACAAUGAAGAAAAUUCUAAAUUGGUUAAUGUAUUUUUUUGUUAUAAUUCCUAAAAUACCUAAUGCCUCAUUUCUAUUAAAGAAGAUUUUAAUAUGAACAUUAAGCUUCAUUAUACAUUUCUAAAUAAUAAUCUACUUCUACCGGUUUUUAAAUUUAAGUCCUGGAAUUAAAUCUUAGAAUCCUUAAAAGUAUAAUUUUUGCUAAGUAAGAUUUAUAGACUUAGAAAUUGCAUUAGAGUUUUGAAGGUGUAAAUGGUGAAAAAUGGAUUACAAUGGCAUAAAUGAAACAUUCCUCAGGAUCUAUGAUUUGUUGAAGAGAUGUUCUUAUAACUAGAUGGGGCCACAGUUUCCUGUAUCUGUAGGGGUUUGGUAAGGACAUAAAUUGGAACCUAAAUUCUUGGCCAUCAACAUUCCCUAUCGGGCCACAGGGCCCAGUGAGGACAGCCACAGACUACCAAAUGCAUAAUGUGCCUAAGAGCAUGCAAAUUAAAUUAAUUUAAAAACAACCACCUGAGGUUCUGGCUAAACAAACACGUACGAAAAACAGAGAAAGACCAACAGGUCACCAGUCUGCAAAAACUUGGCAAAAAUUGCGAUAAUGUGAUUAUAUUUUUGAAUCCACAAAUAGCAUACAUUUAGAAUGUGAAUAUAUAAGACAAACUUUGUCUACAUAAGUACUUCAAAUACUGAAGUUGACAUGAUCAAAUGAUCAUUGCAUAUCAUUUUUCCCUUAAUAAAGAGCAAAGAGUAGAGACCUGGUCAUGUGCAGGAUCAUGAAACUCAGUUUAUUUUAAGUUUUUAUUAUUAUUUCUUUUAGAGAGAGAGAAUGUGAAUGGGGGAAAGGGGCAGAGGGACAGAGAGAGAGAACUUCAAGCAGUCUCCACACUCAGCGUGGAGACUGACGUGGGGCUCAAUCCUACCACCCUGGGAUCAUGGCCUGAGCCAAAAUCAAGAGUCGGGCGCUCAACCGACUGAGCCACCCAAGCACCCCAAAACUCAGUUUAAUUGUUCAGGCUGUGUCAGAUGCCCAGUUCCUGGAGCUAGGCUCAGUACAGGCAUCCUCAGUUUGUGCACAGGUCCUGGCACACAGAGCUUGGUAAGGGGCAUCCUCACUCUGUGUGCCUCCCACUGCAUCAAGGGGGUGUGUAUAUUCUUAGGGACAGACACAUUCUGAUCUCUCCUGUGCCCCUUUCUCCCUGCCCUCCCUAAAGAGUAGGGUUCUGGGGAAAGAGCUUAACUCUGAUUUUAUGCACAUUAGCAUAUUACCAAUAUUUGUAGGAAUGGUGAGGAUGUUUUACCUUUACUUGUGCAGCAAACAAAAAUAAUCACGUUAGGGGCACCUGGGUGGCUUAGUCAGUUGAGUGUCUGACUUCAGCUCAGGUCAUGAUCUCGUGGUUCAUGAGUUCGAGCCCCACGUCAGGCUCUGUGCUGGCAGCUCAGAGCCUGGAGACUGCUUGGGAUUCUGCGUCCCCCUCUCUCUCUGCCCCUCCCCAGCUCACACUCUGUCUCUCUCAAGAAUACAUAAACAUUAAAAAAAUUGAAAAAAUAGUCAUGUUACUUCUGCACAGCUGAAGAGUAGCUUGAAAAUGUAUGUGCACGUGUGUGUGUGUGUGUGUGUGUGUGUGUAGAGAAAGAGAGGGGGAGAGGUUGAUUUGAACUUACUGUUAAUAUUUGCCUAGGAUACAAAAAAAAAUUCCAGAAAAACUUUAGUGGGAAGCAAUAAUGGUGUAAAAAAGUAUUACAAAACAGUGUGUAAAUAAAUAAUUUGCUAUUAACACCAGGUUUUGUAUAAUCAGAAUUUUCUCCAGCAUCUCUCAAAGCAUAAUAGCUCUUUAAGUAUUGGGUGAAUAAUUGAUUAUGAAUACACCUUGGAAUGUUACAAAGUAAACAAGCAUCUAUUUAUUGCCUCCAUUUUCUAGAAUUAGUUACAAGGAAAGUUGGCUAAACAGCGGAGCAAAGUUCAAGUUGUUAAAGGGUAAUAUGGAAUAAAUAUGUGGGUUUCAGGACUAUCUCCUACAGGCAGACGGGAGAGAGAGAGGGAUUAGAAGCAUGUGUUGGUGCGAACAGUUUCAAAAUUCACAGCGGAGUCUGUGCUGCUUUGUGGAGAGAGGACAUGGAUGAGGGAGUAUCUCUCUGGGACCUUUGUGGGGCAGGGACCCCUCCCAUCCUACAAUUGCCAUCUGUGGGAACAGACCACCCUGCUGCAGGGCCCAGGUCCCAGCUGCUCACUAAGUGUAGUUCUGUCUGUUUCCAGGUCUUCUGUCCGUGGUGAGGUCCCAGGGAAAAACUGAUAGUAAAGUCAUUUCAUGUAUAUCUAAACUCCAGAGCCAGACUUCCUGGAUGCAAAUCUGAGCCCAAGUGGGUGCUUCUGAGUAGUAGGCUGGCCUCUCCAAGGUUCUGUUUCCUAGUCUGCAAAAGGGGAAAAAUAAGAAGUUGGUUUUUCUGAGGAUUCACUGUCACUUGCGAAAGAUUUACCCAUCUUACUGCACUCUGGGCAUGUGUACUGUCUUGUCUUCAUCUACUGGAAGGGCCGCCGAUUAGCAGACAGCAGGCACGCCCCCAGAAAGAGAUGAAAACAACUAUAUGCUCACAAAACAAGCAAGGCACGGUCAUAUAUCUUCCAAUGCUUUGGCCAGUUCAAGGACUGAACUACCUUAUGUUUAUGGCUCUAAUAAUGUGUUUAUCUAACCUACUAUCCACAAAUCCUGCUGGUUUGGGAUAGCACGGGUCUGGCUGGAUAGAUGUCAGUGAGCAGCUCUCACGUCCUCUGGAGCGUGUCUGGGGUUCCUUUCCCUCUCUGCUAUCGCCAUUGAAUUUUUCCUGCACAUCUAAUUUCUUCUUGGAAGCAAAGGCAAUGCCAGGGGACAAGGCUCUGAGCUGUUUUGCCUUUCCUGUGGAAAUGACGGGGUGACCUUUAACACGCUACAAAGGUAACCUCAGUGGGAAGGUUGUGCUGCGCUUGCUUAACGGUGCUGAGUGAGAGGGUUGUGCUGCGCUUGCUUAACGGUGCUCAGUGGGAGGGUUGUGCUGCGCUUGCUUAACGGUGCUCAGGAGAACAUGCGGUGAUGUGAGCCACCUGGCUCCACUCCACGAAGGCAAGAUUGGCUUCAGAAUGUCAUCCCUUCAGUGACCUAAAAGGAGAGCUUCACUAAAAUGGCAAACCAUAGCUGUGGUCAUAAUAGGGGAAGGGUGUUCGGACCUGGUGGUUGAAACCAAGGGUAAGAAGCUCCUGGAUCUGGUAGCAUUUCCUGAAGGAAAAAUGAAGGCUCUUCCUUUUACCUGAAUAGUGUGUGGGGGAAGGAGAAAUGUUUGGCAGGUGUUCACGAUGGGGUGCAUUUUCCUUGUUGAAUGAGGGGAUUCAGCUCUUGCAUCAUUAGCAUUUCAGGUAGAGAUAUAGAAGAGGCGAUUGGCAAAGUGCUCAUUUCAUCUUUUCUACAUCGUCUAGAAUCCGAGACCUUGAGGCAAUUUACUUGAAGUGAAUUCCCAAAAUCUUAGGUCUGCCUUUGUAGCCGGCAAGUCCCCACUGCUGUCAGGGAGGUGAAGAUACUCCUUCCUAACGCCUUCCUCCUUCUUCACCACCACCCCUCCAUUUCAUUAAUCAGGGAAUACAGAAGGUAGUCUAGUUCUAUAAUGAGUUGAACUUUAUUGGAAGGCAUAUGUAUAACUUGGGAAAUUAGUAUUUUAGAUGGGCCGACCAUUUUUGAGUCCAGGAAGGAGGUACAUAGAAUUGGCAGCUGAGAGUGUCAAUUGAAAAUGUGUCUAGGACAAAUGUAGGUGAAAUUAGUUUAUUGCUAACUCAGUAACUGUGUCGAGAAGAUGGGGCCAGGUAAGGUUUAAGAAAGCCCACCAAUAUCACAGCAGCUAGGAAGGUUAGUCCUAUUGACCAAGUCCAGUGGAUAUAUGAGAACUUUAUGUAUCUGCCUGAAUGAGAUCUCCUAUUUUGACCAUUUUUGUGACUGUGGUAUAAAUGCAUGUUUAUAGAAUGUUUAAUUGAUAUAAAAUUAUAGAUUGUAAUAUUGGCAUGGACUUAUCAAUGUUCUAGACUAUUAUAGGUAGGUGCUUAUCAAAAGUAUUUAACCAAAAGGUCUGGUUAUAAAAUGGUCCUGGUAAAUCAUGCUAUAGAAACUGAGAACCCGGUAAGAAAGUAAGGGAAAAAAAGGAAUGUUAAUGGUAAUACUGACCUUGAGAUAACAGAAUUUCCAGAAUUUUCUAUCAGAGUUGGGCUUUAUCUGAGUUCAGUCAGUUUAGCCAAGUAUUCUGGCCUUCCUCUGCCUACUUUUCACCCUAAGCUCUCUUGUGAGCAGAGUCCUGACAUCCACUAUUUGUGCCAGGUGGCUUUCUAUACCAGCUGGGUCUCCUGGCAGUGACCUUUUGGUUUUGGUCCUCAUCAGUGAAUACGAGGGCUCCUAACAGCUGUCCUAAAAGCAGUAGGAAGGAGGUCCUUGAUCAGCAGGAGGAUUUCAGAAUCCUUCGGUCCAAAAUAAAUGUCUAUACACAGACAUCAAGAGCGACAGUUCAUCAAAGCUUUGAGGUCACCCUGCUUAUUUGCAUUUUUAUAAGACAUACAUCAUGCAGACUGUCUCUUUGUAAGAUUAUCAUUCACCCCUUGCAUGGCCCAGAGCGCUAGAGUUAAUGUAACUCAAAGGUAUACAUUAGACCAGAAGGUGAAAAAGACCAGACAUUGUCAUGACAUAUGUAAGCAGCCAGGCUCCGCCUCCUACUCUCCAUCCUGUCUUCUUCUUCUCCCCCUGACUUGUGUCAGAACAUUUCCUUCCAUUUUUCAGACCUCUGCCCUAGAAACAUAAGCAGAUGUGUGCAUCUAAAAUUUGGGUUUUAAACAAUCCUAGAUCUUUACCUACUUCUAAGACGGUGUCUACGAAAAAGUUCCCAGUUUUCCAUAACUAAAAGAAUUGGAUCUAAGCAAAGGGAAACGUGCUGAUUUUCACCGUGCAGACUCUACCUGACCUGGCUGGGCACUACAGACUCAAUUGCUUCUGAAGCCACAUUUUUGUCUAUCCGAAGAAACCCAUCACCACAGCACUGCUGUUUGUGAGAACAGCCCCAUGGUGUUAGGGGCACCUGGAAUAUGGCUAGCCUGAACUGAGAUGUGCUUCAGGCAUAAAGUAGACAUUGGAUUUCUAAGACUUAUGGUGAAAAAAAGAGUGUAAAAUAUCUUACUGAUAAUUUUUAAUUGGUUGCAUGUUGAAUGAGAAUACUUUGAAUACAUGAGGGUAAAGAAAAUGUGUUACGGAAAUUAAUUUUACUUGUUUAUUUUUUACUUUUAUACUGUAGCUACUAGAAAAGUUACUAUUACAUAUCUGGCUUGCAUCACAUGUGUAUGGACUAUAUAUGUGUACUGACUAUACUUUAAAUGUCUUUUUUUUUUAUCAUACAGGACAUUUAUUUGGCAACUUCUAUUUUUAAGAGUAUGUUGUGAAUGUCUUUCCAUGCCAUUAAAUACCCUUCUGUGACAGUUUGUUUUUACUGCCCAUUUAGGUUGUUUUUUUUGGUUUUGUUUUGUGUUUGCAAAAAUACAUUAAAUGUCUUUAGGGGAAUGACAAAUGUUCUUAAAUGAUUAUCUUAUAGAAGCAAGAACUAAAAAAAAAUUGCCCUGAAAAAAAUGACUUUCAAAGGGAUUCAGUAUUGACUAUCUGUUUCUGAUUAGGUGACAGUGAGGUCACAUGCCAGGGAGAAAGUUGCCUGAGAGUUUACGGGGGCACAGACAGAAAAGCAGGAGACCAUCUGUUACAUUCUAGGUAACAGACAAUGAUGGCUGGAUUUACAUGAUGACUUAAUUUGGAUGGUAAAGAAACAAUCAUAAAGGUAUGGAUUCUUCCAAAUAUCUAGAGCCACACAGCCAAUAAGGGAGGAUUAUGUAGCUGACAAUGCAAAUAGGUUUUUAGUGAAUUAUUUUCAGAUUUUAUUGCUUAGAUAGUCAAACAAAGCUAACACUGGGAAAAUUGUAGCCACUACCAGUAUCAAAGGAAUCAUGAGUUAUAUGGAGUGGAAAGUUAUACAAAAAUGAAGGCUGCAAUCAGAAAAGUAAAGAAGUAUAAAUUACUUCAAAGAAGCAAUAAAGGGUCUUCCUAGUACCUACCAGGAUUAAUUUGUGAAGAGGAGAAUGGGGUUAUCUGUCUGGCCCAUUGAGAUUUUUAGUUAAGAUUGAAAUUUUCCAUGUAUUUUUACCAUUCCAAGGAGAUAUGGGGUGAUCAUAUCCCCCACAACAAAUGGCCACAUAGGGGUCAAAUUAACAAUCAAGAGCACAGAUUUUCAGAUACUGAAAGAGAAUUUAAAAUGAGGAUUAUUGAUUCUUCAUCAACGUGGGGUUCUUAUUUGUUAUAGAGUUUUUCUCUUCAACUUCCACAAAAUAAAAUGUUUUCAUUUUUAAGUGUACAACUGGAUGAGGUUUGAGAAUAUGGGCAGUCAUGUACCACCACCCCAGUCAGGACGUAGAACAACUCUGGCACUCCAAAGAGUUCUUUGGGAUCCUUUACAAGAAUCCUUUAACCCCCUCUCCAGGCCAUUGGUGAUAUAAUUCAUAACACUGGAGAUCAGUUUUGCCUCUUCUAGAACUUCCUAUAAAUGAAAUCAUGUACUUCUUUGGUAUCCAGUUUCUUUACUCAAGAUAAAUGCUUAGUAUAUAUCAGUACUUAAUGCCUUUUUGUUGUUGAGUAGCAUUUGAUUGUAUGGAUAAACACAUUUUGUGUAUCCUUUAAUCUCCUGGUGGACAUUUGGGUUGUUUCCAGUUUUUGAUUAUUAUGAAUAAAGCUGCUAUAAAUAUUCACAGGCAGGUUUUGUGUGGACACAGGUUUUCAAAUGAGUUGGGUGAGUAUCUAGGAGUGAGACUGUUGAUUGUAUGGUAAGAGUAUGUGUAGUUUUGUAAGAAACUGACAAACUGCUUUCCAAAGUGGCUGCACCAUUUUGAACUUCCAACAGCAUGGAUGAGAGUCCCUCUGUACACUUGCCAGUGUGAAGUGUCUGUUCAGAUCUUUUGCCCACUUUUUAAUUUGGCUGUUGUUUUCUUAUUGUUGAAUUUUAAAGAAUUUUUGUGUAUUUUGGAUCCAAAUCCUUUAUUAUAUAUGUGUUUUGAGAACAUUGUAUCCAAAACUAUGGCUUAGCUUAUGUUUUAACAGGAGGAGGAGUUUUAAAUUUUAAUAAAUUCCAACUUACCAAUAUAUUUUUUUUGGAUUGGGCUUUUGAUGUCAUGUCUAAAAACUCAUCACUUGCUAUUGUUUGAAUCUCUCUCCCCCCACCCCCAAAUUCAUAUGUUGAGUUCCUAGCCCCCCAAAUUAUGGUAUUAGGAGGUGAGGGCUUUGGUAGGUGCUUAGUAAGUCAUAAGCGUGGAGCCCUCAUGAAGGGGAUUAGUGCCCUUAUUAGAGAAGUUCCAACUUACACCUUGGAAGAGGAACUUCUCCUGGCCAUGCAGGCACCCUGACCCAAAAACUUCCAGCCUCCAGAACUAUAAGCAAUAAAUUUUUGUUUACAAACUACCCAGUCUGUGAUAUUUUGUCAUAGCAACCAAAAUAGACUAAGAUACCACCAAACCCAUGCUCACCCAUAUUUUCCUUUAUGAUUUUAGAGGUAUUCAGAUUUUCUAUGUCUUCUUGAGUAAGUUUCAGUAGUUUGUGCUUUUUUGGGGAAUUCAUCCAUUUUACCUAAAUUAUAUAAAUAGGUCAUUAUACAGUCAUUCAUAGACUUUCUUUAUAAUUCUUUUUUGAGUUGACAGUCAUAGUCCCACCUUCAUUUAAUUUUAGUAAAUUAAGUUUUCUCUAUUUUUCCUGGUUAGUCUAGUGAAAGAUGUCAAUUUUGUCGAUGCUUUUGGAGAACCAACUUUUGGUUUUGUCGAUCUCAAUUGUUUUUCUAUUCUCUUUCACUGAUUUCACUCUAAUCCCAUUUUCCCCCCUUUCCUUUUUCUUAUUUUGGAUUUGAUUUGCUCGUUUUUUCCCCCGUGUCUCAAGGUGGAAUGUUAGGUUGUAGACUUGAGAUCUUUUUUGACAUUUAGUAUAUUUUUUACUGCUAUAAAUUGCCCUCUAGGCAAUGCUUUAGCUACAUCCUCUACAUUUUAGUAUGCUGUAUCUUAAUUUUAAUUCAUGUCAAAGUAUUUAAAAAAUUUUUAAUGUUUAUUUAUUCUUGAGAGAGAGAGAGAGAGAAAGAGAGAGAGAGAGAGAGAGAGUACGAGCAGGGGAGGGGCAGAGAGAGAGGGAGACAGAAUCCAAAGCAGGCUCCAGGCUUCAAGCUGUCAGCACAGAGCCUGAUGCGGGGCUCAAAUCCACAAACCAUGAGAUUGUGACCUGAGCCAAAGUCGGAUGCUUAACUGACUGAACCACCCAGGCACUCCUCAAAGUAUUUUUUAAAUUUCCCAUAUGAUUUCUUCUUGAUCCAUUGGUUACUUAGUGAUAUGUUGCUUAAUUUCCACAUAUUUAUAAAUUUUCUAUUUUUUCUGUUGUUAAUUCCUAAUUUUACACAAGUGUAAUCAGAGAAUAUACUUUGUCCAAUUUCAAUUCUUUUAAAUUUAUUGAGGAUUAGUUUAUGGCCUAAAUUACAAUUUACUCUGGAGAACAUUCCAUGCACUCUUUAAAAGAAUGUGCGUUCUUCUCUUGUAAGUUGGAAUGUUAACAGAUGUCUGUUGGGUCCAGUUUGUACAUAGUGUUGUUUAAGUCUUUUGUGUCCUUGCUGAUUACCUCCUGGCUCAUUCUAUACAUUAUUGAAAAUAGAGUAUUGAAGUCCUCAACUAUUAUUGUAAAAUUGUUUUUUGCUACCUUCAAUUCUAUUAGCUUUUGCUUCAUGAAUUUUGGGAUACUAUUAUUAGAUGCACUUAUGUUUAUAUUCUUAUAACUUUUGAUGGAUUGCCCCCCUAUCAUUAUAUAAUUUAUCUCUUUAUCUCUAGUAACAUUUUUAUUUAAAGUCGAUUUUGUUUGAUAUUAGUAUAGCCAUUCCAGAUUACUUAAAGCUGCUGUUCACAUGGUAUAUCUCUUUUCCAUCCUUUUACUUUCAGCCUAUUUGUAUCUUUGAAUCUACUGUGUGUCUUCUGUGAAUUUAUUAUCUUACAGCUUCUGUUGAGGCUCUGGAAAAGAAUCAGAGUUCAUUCAUGUUGUUGGUUAAAUUCAGUUUCUUGCAUAUGUAGGACUGGGGUCCCAAUUCCUCAACUGACUGUCAUCCAGGGGCUGGUGUUUGCUUCUAGGUGCUACCCACAUUCCUACUCAUGCUUUCCAUAUAGCCCCUCCAGCAAAGGUGGGCUCAGUCCUUCACACUUCAAGUCUCUCUGACUUCCCCUUCUACAGUAUACCUCUGACUCCAGGGCCUGUGUGAUUAGAGUAGGUCCACCUGGAUAAUCCAGGAUAAUCUUCUUAUUUUCAUGACUGUAAUUACAUCUGCAAAGUCCCUUUUGCCAUGGGGCAAAAUGUACUCACAGGUCUCUAGAAUUAGAAUCUGGACAUUUUUGGAGGGUCAUUCUGGCUACAAUAAUCCACCAUCUGGAACAUAAAGACUCAUUUCAUGAGACAUGUAGAAAACAAAAAGUAAAAUGGCAUACAUAAACCCAACUAUAUAUAUUUUUAAAAAAUUGUUUUAAUGUUUAUUUAUUAUUGAGAGACAGAGAGACACAGUGUGAGCAGGGCAGGGGUAGAGAGAAGGGGAGACACAGAAUCUGAAGCAGGCUCCAGGCUCCGAGCUGUCAGCACAGAGCCCAACGCAGGGCUCGAACCCACAAAUAGUGAGAUCAUGACCUGAGCUGAAGUCAGUUACCUAACCAACUGAGCCACCCAGGUGCCCCCAUAAACCCAACAAUAUUAAUAAUAACAUUAAAUAUGAAUGAACUAAACAGUCCGAUCACACUGGGUAAAUAAAACAAAACAAGAUCCAACUGUAUGCUGUUUGUAGAAGGUCUCAGCCUUGUGAGACCUUUGGGCACAGGACCCAGCCAAGUCUAUGCAAACUUCUGACCUAUAGAAGUUGCAAGAUAAUAAAUUCACAUUGUUUUAGGUUGUGUGCUAAUUCGUUACAGCUGCAUUAGAAGCCAGUAUGCAUAUAAUGAGGUGUUUGUUGUUAUGUCAGGUGGAUUAAGUGCAUUAGAAGAGACUUAAAGCCAGUCAAGGAUGGAUGUUUGAGGUGGACUCCACAAAGAGAAACAGGAGCCAUUUAGGGAAAGAUGGGUCACAUAUGUAGAACUAAAAGUAGGCAAUAUGGAGAAGAGAAUUUGCUGAUCAACGUUGAUGUUAAAAAUUGUUGAAAGUGAAAUAUUAUGUGUAGAAUGUUACGCAUGGGUGCCUGUGCCUUUUGCUCAGAGGGGAAGAAUCUUAGAAUGUCCUUUAUUAAUGAAUGGUCUUUACCCCUUUUAAACAUGAGGUUUAUACUUUUGUUUAAGACACUGAGAUCUUAUUUAUUGAAUUGGAAAGGAGAGGGGAUCAGCAUAUCAACAGAGAUAGGAUUUUUCUCAUCCAAUCCUGAAUAGUGUAAUAAUUCAAAUAGAAAAUACAAAUAGCAUAUGGGCUGGGUUAAACAUUCUCUAGUAAUAGGGCAAUUUUUGCAUUCAUUAAUUCUUGUUAUUAAAGGAUGGGAAUAGAGUAUGGGAAAACUGAUGUCUCAAAAAUUCUGACAUGGAUUGGAAUUUCAAUCCUUCACAUUUCCCUGUUCCCCUAGUGUUGUUUGGGUCAGAGUGACGUUUUACAGCAGCAACUUAUCAAAAAUAUUGCCUCAAUCUUCAAUCAUCUUUUU